rnacentral:rRNA from 1 species
CCUACGGGUGGCAGCAGUGAGGAAUAUUGGUCAAUGGGCGAGAGCCUGAACCAGCAAAGUCGCGUGAGGGAAGACGGUCCUAUUGAUUGUACACCUCUUUUGCCGGGGAUCAAAAAGCGGUACGUGUACCGCAUCGAGAUUACCCGGAGAAAAAGCAUCGGCUAACUCCGUUCCAGCAGCCGCGGUCAUACGGAGGAUUCGAGCGUUAUCCGGAUUUAUUGGGUUUAAAGGGUGCGUAGGCGGAAGGUUACGUCAGCGGGCAAAGGUCGGUGCUCAACACCGGCCUGCCUUUGAAACUGGUCUUCUUGAGUGAGCGAGAAGUAUGCGGAAUGCGUGGUGGAGCGGUGAAAUGCAUAGAUAUCACGCAGAACUCCGAUUGCGAAGGCAGCAUACCGGCGCUCAACUGACGCUGAGGCACGAAAGCGUGGGGAUCGAACAGGAUUAGAUACCCUGGUAGUC